ensembl:ncRNA hpRNA:CR32205 hairpin RNA:CR32205
ACCAUCAUUUUUGACAUACAUUUGUAAAUUUAUUUCGUCAAGUGAUCACAUGUUGAUAAUUUAGAUGAGGACCUGCGCAGCAGCAGAGGCGCAGCUGAUUGGAGCGGAGUUGGCCAAACGCGAAGGGUAGGCAAAAGGAAGCAAUCUCAGAAGCAGCAUCGAUACCAUUGCUGUUCCUGGCGAUAACCUGGCUACUGGUGGCGGUCACAACUGGAGCGGGAGCAGCUACCACGGCAGCAGGAGCAGAGUAGGCCAGAGGAGCAGAGUAAGCCAGAGGACCAGUGUACGCCAGGGCAGCACACAGGACUCCAGGCUUGGCAGCAGCGCAGGCGACGGUUAUCAGGACAAGGACGGCCUGUAAACAAAUCAGCUUGAUUAGUUUAAUCCUCUAUGGAUCCUUUCUGAAGAACUUUAUGUGAUUUCCCACUGCUGACUGCAGAAUGUGGAAUAACUCUUGGUGGCCACGGAAUGCGAUGGCCUGAGAUCACAGGCGCAGUCCCGAUGCGGCGCAUAAAUAGUGGUAUGGAAUGUGUUGGGCGACAUCAGGUUCAAGUUUUCGAACCGAAAGCACCAGAUCCAUAAUCCAAAUGUUUAAAUCCGACGUCCUUGUCUUGGCCAUCGUCUCCUGCUCUGCUGCCAAGCCUGGACUGCUUUGGACUACACUGCUCACGUGGUUCCUCUGCUUCACUCCGGUCUGACUGUCGUGGUAGCUGCUCUCGCUCCAGUUGUGACCGCUGCCAGUUAUCAGGUUAUCGCCAGGAACUACAAUGUAAUUGCUCUUGCUCCUGUGAUUGCUCCUGUGAUUGCUCCCGUGGCUUUUCUCUGGCUGUGCCUCUCUUGGCCCAGUACGCAGCCGCUCCUCUGGCUGCUCCAUGACCUACUCCUCGCCUUUGGCUUACUCCGCACCACUGAGCUACGCCGUUCCAUUUACACAGCUCCCUAUCUAAAUUACUAAGCUGUGAUCACCUCGGAGACAAUGAUAAUAAAUGGAGAUAUAAUAAGACGUUAUUCAAUUGUAUAUUCUUUUGCAAACACGCUUCAAAUUAGUAUUUAUUUUAAUGAAAAAUUAUAUCUGAACGUACACGAAGAUGAUUCCUAGAUAAUUUCCCAGCAUUUAUGAACAAUUAUUCCGAGAAUGCACACUAGCGCCACCUAACGACUGAUACAUUUCUUAAUCACAGCCCUAUAAUCUGUUGAAUCUAACUACAAAAUAUCCGAACUUCUGAGCUUUGAAGAUCCCCAGAUCUUAGACGGUCAUAGAUCCCAAUUAAUUUCUUUUUUGUGCGAAAGCACUUCAUUCAACGUUUUACAUAAUUUUUAUAGAAUCCAAUAAGGCCUUUUAAAACGUUUCUACUGCUCCAACUGUAUAUGUACAUGCUGCUUGGGCCUAAUAAUUAACCUUGCUGAUAACCCUCAUCAAAUCACCAAACUGCCGUCCACACAAUUCCAUGGUGCUCCAUUAUCAAAUCCCUGUUGGAUGUCCGGUGCCUGAAUCAACACAAUUCAAAAGCCCACCCAGAAGUCGAAACCCGUUUUCGGCACCAUCGUUCAUUCAUCAUCGCCGCCUGGCACUUGGCAAAUUUACACAAGCCAGGUAAACGGAUAGACAGAAGGACGGAGCCAGCCAGAGCCGAAAUACAAUUAAAACCCAAUCUAAACUCAAAUUUUAAAUCACAAAAGUUAUCAGUUACCUUUCGGCCAACAGCAGAAGCAGCAGCAGUAGCAGCCGCACGUAAACUUUGGUCAGAAUCUGUAAGUUUGCAGCUGAAUCUUGGUCAAAAGAUACGGCUACGACUCCCAUACACACGCACCUUUGGCAAACACACUCAAUUAUAGAUACAGACAGACAGUGAGACCCACAAACUUCCGUGGAAAACUUCUCGGGCACUUUGAAAAUGAAGCGAAUCCUGGCCAGACAGACGGGCCGUUUCCCAAGUUCGAUUUCUGGCAUUUGCUGUGCUCGGCAAAAUGCAUUUGCCAUUCCAAACUAGUUCCAAUUGAUUAAGUUUCUGGUUAAUGGAUUGUUUACAUACCUAAGCAGGCCGACUCACAGAAGUGCAACUCUGCAACUUUUGGCAAUCACCACUAAAUGGUAAUCACAAAUUCACUGCCUGACUUAGUCUUCUAUUGGGCCAAAAAGCAAAAUACAGUUGAGCAUUGGAAAUUCCACAAGUUAUUUAAGUGGCAAAUGGUCAAAUCACAUUAUAUUUUACUGCACUUUAUUAUGAUGGUUCUAUAAGUUUUGACGUUUAUUUAUAACUAAGCCAAUAGAAUCGGUAGCAGAAUUGGGUUAAAUCCAAAGUAGAGGCCAAAUGCACCAAAUCUAUUUCGUAAGCCUACUACUGUACUGUACUAUACUUUAAAACAUUUAUCCUCCUUGUUUUUCCGAGUGCCCACUAAAAAAUGCAUAAUUAUUUUCCUUUAUGCCAUAAAGCAGAUUAAAAAACUUUUGUUUUUAAUUAGAAGAAGCGCUGUUUCGGGCAACAAAAGAAGGCAUGGAACUUGCGAGUAACUUUGCAAACAUUUCAUUGCGCGCAUAUAAAUUACAUGGAGAAAGAAAAGCGUGAAAAGCGCGAAAAGCAAGCAACAUUCUUGCCAAAAACGAUAUGAAAUAAAACCAGAUGAAAAUCAAAAUUAAUGCAAAGCUCUCUUCCAGCAGACAAUGCGGCGUAUGCGCAAUGAGCUCUGCAAUUCUUGGCAAAAUUACGCAUACGCCCCCUUCGCCGAAGUGCGAGCGCACUGCGGGCUGCCUUUAAGUUGCGCCAGGGAAUGUGAAUUAAUUUCGUUUUAAUUAAGUUCCCAUAAGUUUAUUAAAUUUAACAAGCAGGCCCCAGAAACACAUACACAACCACCAAGCUCGCUGCGACAAAAGGACCAAGAACUAUGUGCGGGAACAAGAUGACAACUACGACUCCUGGCCUGGCACACAAAACGUUUCAAAAUUAAUUAACAACUUAUUUGCAUUUUGACGGUUCUCGAAUGGAUGUCGCCGUAACACGAUAAAGAAGUCCUCAUCAUGUUGGAAAACCUUUGACACAAAUUAAACUUGAGCUUGGGCUUAUAAGAUUUAAGUUCACUGAGAUCGAUCUUCCGGGGAAAAUUCUUAUUUCUCACUUGUGUUAAUAAUAUUGGCUCUUAAUUUAAG